rnacentral:lncRNA from 1 species
AAGUUGGUGCUGUUUUUGAUUUUUGGCUUUUGGGGUCUUUUCUUUGGUUUUCGGUUUUUUGAGACAGAGUCUCCCUGUGUAGUUCAGGCUGGGCUUGAACUCACAGUGUAACCCAGGCUGGCCUUAAAUUCAUGGCGAUCCUCCAGCCUCAGCCUCCUGAGUGCCGGGACUGCAGGUGUGCGCCACCGCGGUUGCUGGUGCUGUAUUUUUAGCUCACUUGGUUAGUGGGGAAAGUGCCGUUACUGAGCUGCCCAAGUCAGCCUGCCCUGUCAAACCAGCAACUGCGUCCCCAUUCUUCCUCUGUUAGGAGAGAUCUGACUGCAUUUUUCUAUUCAAAUAAACACGCUAAGACCAUCUCCAUGGCAACCGGCUCACUUCUGAAUUCACAGCUCCGGAGAACCUUGGGGAGAGUGCUCCUGAGUGCAGGAAAGUGCUGUCGUCUUCAGUACUCUCCGUUCUCCUUUACAUCACGCACCCAUCAGUGGGGAGAGCUUCUUUGGCAAUAGUCAGGGGACAGAAAGGCAGAGGUUGUUCAUAAAGAUCGUCAUUGUGCCAGGCACAGUGGCACACACCUAUGUCCCAGCUUCUCAGGAGGCAGAGGCAGAAGGAUCCCCAAGUUUGAGCCCAGCCUGGGCAACUUAGCAAGACCCCAGAAAGACCUGGAAAUGCAGCUCAGCGCUAAUCACACACACACACACACACACACACACACACACACACACACACACACAGUUUGUCGUCAUGGAGGUUUGGUUUUGUGUUUUGAGACAGGAUCUCACUAUGUAGCUCAGACUGGCCAAGAACUCAAGGUGAUCUUCCUGCCUCAGCCUCCUGAGGGCUGGAUGACUGGCGUGUGCCCCCGUGCCUGGCCUCCUGGGACUAAUUCUUCAUUCUAUCCAGAUGCACGGUUGGGUCACUCUGACAUAGGUGACGGUCGCCUGCUGUCUCCAGUAUCCCCAGCACUGCUGCCUCCCUCGGGACCACACACCUGGACCCCGAGGCCGGGCCUAAACUCAGCAGGUGCCGCCGGUCCCGGCCCCCGUGGACGUCGCUUCACCUCGGGCCUCAGCGUCACGGUCCCCUCCAGGACAGAGCUGGGACGGACGCUGGGCCCCUGGGACUUCUUCAGCCACAUGGACUCCCCCAGCGUCCGGCCUCUGCUCUCUCGGAACAACCUGCCCGCGUGUCAUAGGAAAACACUCAUUUCUACUUCGAGCAGAGUGGUUUAUUUCGGUUUCCUUAGGAAUCCCCGCCAAUUCCUAACUUGGCCACAGCUGUUUAUAACUCAGGUUUAUGAAUAUGUCUUCAGUUCUCCUUAUAAAAGCCCUCAGUGA